AGCCCUCGGGGUGAUCCCACACCAAGCUGCAAACUUGGAGAAGCUCCCUAGAGGAGCCGGGGCUUC
rnacentral:tRNA from 1 species